rnacentral:lncRNA from 1 species
UCAAUCUCAAACUAGUUGCAACUAGAGAGACCAUUCAGAUAAGGUUACUUAACAACAUUCAGAAAAUAGUUGCAAUUAAUAACUCAGUCUCUUCCUAGUUGGCGAGUUAAAGAAAACCUAAAGUUACAGCACAGGUUUAUGAAAACCAACAAUGCAACAUUUCAGCAAUUCAACAGAACUUUCAAUAGACCAAGUCACCAGUCAGCCAGUCACCC